UACUCUAUGGCCGAGUGGUUAGAGCGUCCGCCUCAGAUGUGGAAAGUCGCGGGUUCGAACCCCAGCGGAUUCA